rnacentral:rRNA from 1 species
AACGAACGCUGGCGGCAUGCCUAACACAUGCAAGUCGAACGAGACCUUCGGGCCUAGUUGCGCACGGGUGCGUAACGCGUGGUAACCUGCCCUUAGGUUCCGUAUAACUGCCCGAAAGGGGAGCUAAUACAGCUGAAGCUCUUCGCACCUAAGAUUUCUCGCCUUUUGAUGGGCGCGCGUUGGAUUAGGUGGUUGGUAGGGUAAAAGCCUACCAAGGCGACGAUCCAUAGCUGGUGUGGGAGGAGGAUAAGCCACACUGGGACUGAGACACGGACCAGACUCCUAGGCAGGGGAGCGGUGGGGAAUAUUGGAGGAGGAGCGAAAGCCUGAUCACGCAAUGCCGGGUGAGUGAUGCAGGCCUUAGGGUUGUAAAGCUCUUUUACCCGGGAUGAUAAUGACAGUAACGGGAGAAUAAGCUCCGGCUAACUACGUG